AUUGAACGCUGGCGGCAGGCCUAACACAUGCAAGUCGAGCGGGGUUUUCGGACCUAGCGGCGGACGGGUGAGUAAUGCGUAGGAAGCUACCCGAUAGAGGGGGAUACCAGUUGGAAACGACUGUUAAUACCGCAUAAUGUCUACGGACCAAAGUGUGGGACCUUCGGGCCACAUGCUAUCGGAUGCGCCUACGUGGGAUUAGCUGGUUGGUGAGGUAAUGGCUCACCAAGGCGACGAUCCCUAGCUGGUUUGAGAGGAUGAUCAGCCACACUGGAACUGAGACACGGUCCAGACUCCGACGGGAGGCAGCAGUGGGGAAUAUUGGACAAUGGGCGCAAGCCUGAUCCAGCCAUGCCGCGUGUGUGAAGAAGGCCUUCGGGUUGUAAAGCACUUUCAGUAGGGAGGAAGCGUUGUGUGUUAAUAGUACACAGCGUUGACGUUACCUACAGAAGAAGCACCGGCUAACUCUGUGCCAGCCGCCGCGGUAAUAC
rnacentral:rRNA from 1 species